rnacentral:sRNA from 1 species
UGAACUGGGAGAUGAAGUUGAGGUGU